rnacentral:pre_miRNA from 14 species
AACACCGAUCCCGGACGAGCCGCCAAAUGAAAGAUCCCCGAAGAGAGAGCCUUUCUAAAGUCGCGGGAAAUCGCGGACCCCAGACACAGAGAAACCA